rnacentral:rRNA from 1 species
AUGAAGCAAAAAAUUAUCUUGGUUCCAGCAAAAAAAUACACCGGUUCCAACAAAAACAAAAAAUUGGUUCAGCAAAAAAUGCAUCAACAAAAAAUGGCCAUCCUCUCUUGCAGCUCCCCCAGUAACCGGUUGGAGCUCCGGCGUGCACGAUUGCAGCUCCCGACAUUCGAACAACGUUGGAUACAACACUCCUUGCUGCUGGAUGUAGCUUCCCUGGCGAGGCACCAACCUUGUAGCACAUACACCAGCUGGUUGCAGCAGACAAGAGCACCCGUUCCCGCAAAAAACGAAGAUGUUCAUAAAAACAAAAGGGGAUGA